GAGAACGCUGGCGGUAGGCCUAACACAUGCAAGUCGAACGGCAGCACAGUAAGAGCUUGCUCUUACGGGUGGCGAGUGGCGGACGGGUGAGGAAUACAUCGGAAUCUACUUUUUCGUGGGGGAUAACGUAGGGAAACUUACGCUAAUACCGCAUACGACCUACGGGUGAAAGCAGGGGAUCUUCGGACCUUGCGCGAUUGAAUGAGCCGAUGUCGGAUUAGCUAGUUGGCGGGGUAAAGGCCCACCAAGGCGACGAUCCGUAGCUGGUCUGAGAGGAUGAUCAGCCACACUGGAACUGAGACACGGUCCAGACUCCUACGGGAGGCAGCAGUGGGGAAUAUUGGACAAUGGGCGCAAGCCUGAUCCAGCCAUACCGCGUGGGUGAAGAAGGCCUUCGGGUUGUAAAGCCCUUUUGUUGGGAAAGAAAAGCAGCAGGUUAAUACCCCGCUGUUCUGACGGUACCCAAAGAAUAAGCACCGGCUAACUUCGUG
rnacentral:rRNA from 1 species